CACGGGGGGAGCAAGCGUUGUUCGGAAUCACUGGGCGUAAAGGGCGUGUAGGCGGUCAGGUUAGUGAGAUGUGAAAUGCCCCGGCUCACCCGGGGACCUGCAUCUCAAACUGCCUGGCUUGAGUAUGGGAGAGGAUGAGGGAAUUCCUGGUGUAGCGGUGAAAUGCGUAGAUAUCAGGAGGAACACCGGUGGCGAAGGCGGAUCUCUGGGCCAUUACUGACGCUGAGGAGCGAAAGCGUGGGGAGCGAACAGG
rnacentral:rRNA from 1 species